ensembl:lncRNA
AGUUACGGCGCAAUCAGGAGGAAGUGACGUCAUGAGCGACGCCGAUCUCCACCCGAGCGCACAGCCAACCGAGCCCAGAGUGACUGAAGGAACCUCACAAAAAGCGGCUUGUCCAGGAAAGCGAGAGCGACCUGUUACAGGAGUGCGCAGGGGCCCGAACCAAAUCAAAGACAGGAGGAGGAGGCAUCACAGGAAGAUGCUGGGAGAGAAGGGAGAAGAGCGGAAGAGCAAAGCACUGCAAAUUUACACCAGACUGCGAGACGGAAACAAGCCGACUGAGCCCAGCAAGCCGAGAAGCUGUUCCAGGUUUGAGGACUGUGGACAGUGAUGGUGAUGGCUAUCUAUCGUGCUUUCAAGUACUGCUGGCUCUAAAGGAGAUCAUUCCUCCAGAACUGCUGACUGAAGAGGAGGAAAUCUAUGUGUACAGGAUUCUAGAGCUGGUUGAUUUCAGCGUGACUGAGGGUCUGACGGAUUUGCGUCUCUUCGCCGUCGUUGCCAGUCUGGCACAGAAGAUAGCCACACUAGAUGAUUUCAUGCGGUCUCUCAUUAGCAAGAUGGACUUCAAGUCUUUGGAGAUGAAGCUGUACAAAGCAAAGCAGUUGUUCCUGUUCCUGCUGGAGGGCCAGUCUGAGGGCAGCGAGGCACCACAGGGUCGUAUCAGUGCUGAACAACUGCUUGUGGAGCUGAAGGCAGGGGGGAUCCGUGAGGAGCAGGAGGAAGAGGUCAGGCGUGAACUCCGUAGCCUUCGCUCCCUCGACCUGCUUGACUUCCUCGCACACCUACCCCUCUUCAUCCUCAUCCACAACUCCGUCAUUGCCAACCCGCUGGAUGACUCUAGCAACCUGUGACAGAAACACCAAAGCUGUGUUAUGUUUUAAAGGCAGCAUCCAUAUCGCAUGCAAGCCAUACUGUCAGGAUGCCCUGUCACAGCUUCUAGUGCACCUUACUCACGAUAUUCGUUUAUUCACUACCGCUUAUCAGCUUCGAUCAGCAAUAAAACUGAACAUGAAUACAAUUUUCUGUGUGAAAAAAAAAAAUGCUUCGUUUAAGAAAUGUCACGGUACACCAAUGGAGCAGGUCGUUUCAUUUUGCCGUUCAUCGAGAUGAACUUUGACCUGCAAAUGAUGCGCCUAAGGUGGUCUGUUCAGUCUGUAAAACUCAAAUAAAGGAGUUAUUAGAAGUCAUAC